GCAAUUUUAAUUUUUUUGGGAAAAAUUAUAAUUUUGUAUUUUUAAAGGAGUUUAAGUAUAAUUAAUUGAGAUAAAAAAGUGUAAUGCUCCCGUGUAAAGGAAACCGAUCGAAAUAGUGAGAGAUGCACAGACAGACGCACGCCGUUAAUGGAAACUUCACCGCCCACCAUUGAGAAAUCCAUGCACACAAACCCCUCAUCUCCUCUGCGGAAAGAAUGUCGUUUUCUUUUCUUAUUUCUAUCCCUGUUUCAGCCCUAAUUCCUGGAAUAUCUCAGUUUGGAGUUCGAGGAAUUCAGUGGCUGCUAUGCUGUUGCCUGCAUUUUCAUCGGUCAUCUCCGGUGCCAUUGGUCUCCGGUCGGUUUGAUCCAUCUAUAGCAUUGCAUGUAUGUUGGAUUCACCUUAACUUGAUAGAGAGUGAUAUUAAGUCAGCUUAGAACUCGUCUUGGAGAUUUCAUUCAGCGAUGCCGUUUCAUUUUGAGAUGAUUGGGUGCCGGAAAAACUUAUUGUAGCCUUUUCGGUGAGGGCAAAAUUUGGUGAAUGGAGAUGCUCCGAAGAUAAAUGAGGGUACUUGUCAUGGCACCUGUCAUCUUAUUAUUCAUCGAGAAAGCCUUCAAGAGAAGCUUCGAAUAAGACAGAAACAGAGGGCAAAAGGGGAGAAUAAAAAUAUAACUAACUGAUGUGUCGGCAGCCUGUUGAUAAUCUUCACAAGCACUAAAGCAGAUGGCCUUUCCACCCAUUGUAUCCUUAGAUUCUCCUGUUGGAGCCCGGUUAUCAUCCCAUUUUCCGCUGGUGAAUAUUCCCAAGGGAAAAACAAUAAAAUUGAUGGCGGAAGAAUCUUAUAUGUCUUAAGCAUUCAAGGAUGUUUUUCCAUGACCGGACCAUGGGAGAUCCAAAGUCAUUAAGCUACUGCAUGAAUGAGCAGUACCUGCAAGAAUGAGGAUGGACUCAGUUGGGAAUUUGAAUUGACCGACUAACAAAUCUCUCAUGUUAUUCAAGUCAUGUCUACUUCCCUUCAACUCGGACUUUUGAUUCUUGUACUGGACACAACAAAGCAGGGCGCGUUUGUCCCUUCUUGGUUGGUUUGAGAACCCCUUGGCUUCAGUGAUGGCUUUAUCUGGCUUCGUACUUGAACUUUUUUCCAUCAUGAAAUAAACUUUGUCUUGGUCACUAGCUGAUAAUAUUCUUUCGUGUCUGUCACAAUUACUCUUAGGCAUCAAAGAUGAUC